rnacentral:rRNA from 1 species
UACGUGGGGGGCAAGCGUUGUUCGGAAUUACUGGGCGUAAAGGGCUCGUAGGCGGCCAACUAAGUCAGACGUGAAAUCCCUCGGCUUAACCGGGGAACUGCGUCUGAUACUGGAUGGCUUGAGUUCGGGAGAGGGAUGCGGAAUUCCAGGUGUAGCGGUGAAAUGCGUAGAUAUUUGGAGGAACACCGGUGGCGAAGGCGGCAUCCUGGACCGACACUGACACUGAGGAGCGAAAGCGUGGGGAGCAAACAGG